AAAUUAUCUAAUUAUCUGCAUUUCUCUCUUAAAGAGUGAGAAGCCUUCUGCAUGUGGAAGUGGCUGACCUUGGCAGGGUGAGGCAGGGAUGGGAGCUACUGGGGCUGCCCUGGAAAUCCACACUUGCUGGAUUUGGGGAAAGAGCAGGAAACUUCAUCAUCCGAUGAGGUGUGACUUGCAUGGGAAAUCCUGUUUCACCCCAGGGAUGCGGGCAGACAGAGUUUGUCAUUGCCAGGGAGAAAACGUGGCUGUGUCUGAACCACCAGGAGGACAGACGGACACGUGCAUGCCAGGUGGGUUUGUGGGGCUGGAGCCUCUCAUUGCCAGCCUUCUAUAAUGGUGCUCUUUAAUUGCUGUAACUCCUCUGUGCCCUUCCUAAAUACAUUGUGAGAAGAAAUUACUGAUUUUACAGUUCCCUCUGCACCUCUGUGUUGACAGCUCGGUUUUCAAGGAGCAGCAGUUCUGCUGUCCUAGAGAGGAUGCUGUUGGGUCAGAGUGUGCUUGGGGAAAUCUGCUGCCUUCUCCUUCGGCCUCUGCUUGUACC
rnacentral:lncRNA from 1 species